GGAAUAGCCCUCCCGCCCUUCCUGGUCACUGGGGAUUUCUCCCGGAGCAGGAUCGACGUCCGGAGUCAUCAAAUACUGGAGACGUGCCGUGAUUGGUAGCUUAAAUAAGAGGCGUUUUCCAGCGAUUGUGGAAAUCCGGAGCUCUAAUCAGGUUGUUUUCGUCUCUCCUGGAAAGUGAACGGUCCUUUCUAUUUCAAAGCCAAGCAAAGGGGCGAGGAUUCUUUUGUCUCUUUGAUUUUUGCUCCUCCUUUCUCUCCUCACCGGACACUUGGGGUCUUUUGCAAUCACCACGCCUCACCCCUACUCGCUCUUGAGCCACCUCUUACUUUUUGCACCCUUUAAAGACGGAAUGCUGGAAGGAAUGCCGCUCCUACUGACAGCUUCCAAGUACAUCUGAGUAAACCAGGCAGAAAGAGGAACCCUCCACUAAGAAAAAAAGGGGAGAAAUGAGCCCUUUUCAGCAGGGAAUAUUACUGUUGCUCUUCUUAUUCCUAGAGUAUUCAGAAGCCAAAAAGCAAUGCUGGUACUUUGAGGGGGUGUAUCCUACAUAUUAUAUCCGUUGGUGAGCUCCAGUGGCCAUUUUGGCUGCCGCCACAUGCGCAAGGCCUUCCUCGCUCAUGCAACCAUUGGGAGGUCCAGGCCGGGGGUGAUUGGCCUAACAUGACUGCUUACCUUUGGGGUCCCAGGCUCCGGUGGGGCCUA